AUGUGGAUGUGUAUGCAUGAGAAAAAAUAUAUAGGCUACAGCAAAUGUAUUAGUCUACACAGAUGUAAAAUGAAUAGUUUCGUCUUUUUAACACAGUAUAUUGGAUUGUUGUCAUAUGCUGUCUCUUGUCAUCUUGUAUAAGGAUGAUUCUUGUCCAACUUUCGCUUUCGUUACCUUCGAAUCAAAACCAGUCGAUCAGGUUGAACUGUGCAGUACAGAGGUCGAAAGCUCACACUUUACACAGCUCUCGCUUUUCGUUUUCUUUCAGCUGGUCUUUGGAGAUUUUCCCACAGUCAUGUCAGAGGAACAGGAUGAUUCAAUGGAAUUUGAUGAAUCUGGACAUCCACAAUCCACCAAUUUGUCAACCAGUGCUGAUGAAGAUAUGGAGGAUGUAAGUCAGGAUUCUAAUGCUCCGGUGAGUCGCAUCAAGUGAAAUAUGUAUACAGUAUACAUGUAUGUGUGUGUGUGUGUGUUUUAUGUGUCAGUCUGACCCAGUCUCAUGAGAAAAGGGUUAAUAGUACUAAAGGUAAACAAUUAAAAAAUAGGUAAAACAAGUAGGUUACCUAAAAAAAAUAGGUUUUCAAAAACAAGGACAUCUGUCAUAAUAAUCUAUGUGGCAGUAUUGUAAGCAUAAUUUGUUUAUAAACAUGUCAAUUAAAAAGCAACAUAUUAUUCUAGGCACACUUGGUAUUGGUCAUUUUCCUUGGUCAGCUGUCAUUAAAUAGCAAAAUACAUUUAAGAUUUACUGAGAAUGGUUGUUCUUGGUUUGUGGCAAGUGCGUAAUAAAUGACCAUGCCUAUUAUUGUUUGUGUUGAUAAUAAUAUUAGGGACAUCCACAAUCCACCAAUUUGUCAACCAGUGCUGAUGAAGAUAUGGAGGAUGUAAGUCAGGAUUCUAAUGCUCCGGGAGCAUUCUUCCUAAGUCAGCAGGCCCUACAUUCAUCAAGCAGUGCUGAUCCUCAUUUGAUACAAGACAACAUUCAAUCUUCUAAUGCUCAGGAUUCCAGCUCUGUAAUCAGUACACAACCUACCAGCAUCAAUACACAAGACCAUCUCAAAACUGAACAUGAUGAUAAGCAGACUCUGCAUUCAUCAAGCAGUGAUAAUCAUCAAAUGAUGCAAAACAGUCAGCUUUCUGAUGAUGAUGACAAAUGUACAGCUGAGGAUGAAAGGCCUCAAUCAUCAGAAUCACAAGAUAGUGCUAAAUUUAAAAUCAAAGUGGAUGAAAAAGGACCAUUUUCAAAAAGAUGGAAACCAACAUUACAGAAAGCCCUUCAGACCUGGUUGUCCAGCCUGGAAGGAAAACCAUCUAUCGAGAAAUUAACUUUAAUGGCUAAUGAAUCCUGUGCAGAAGUGCAGAUUACACCAUCCAAAGCUCUAAAAGAAGUUUUAAAAAAUCAGACAACUAAAUUAGUACUUAAAGACAAAGAAGAUAAGGAAGUCACUGCGCAGAUUUGUCUGGACGAUUCACAUUCUGUUACUGUACCGCAAAAAUCCAUGCUGGAGGAUAAUGUUUCAUCACCAAAGGUGAACAGCUCUAUGCCUGUGACUUAUGCAGUAUCAGGAGACACAAAUAAAAGUAGAGAACGUUGCUGCAGCUAA
rnacentral:lncRNA from 1 species